GAUGAACGCUAGCUACAGGCUUAACACAUGCAAGUCGAGGGGUAACGAGAGGAAAGCUUGCUUUCCUUGUCGACGACCGGCGCACGGGUGAGUAACGCGUAUCCAACCUGCCCCCAACUAGGGAAUAACCUUGCGAAAGUAAGACUAAUACCCUAUAAUUUCCUCAGAUGCCAUCUGACGAGGAAUAAAGAUUUAUCGGUUGCGGAUGGGGAUGCGUCUGAUUAGCUUGUUGGCGGGGUAACGGCCCAACAAGGCAACGAUCAGUAGGGGUUCUGAGAGGAAGGUCCCCCACAUUGGAACUGAGACACGGUCCAAACUCCUACGGGAGGCAGCAGUGAGGAAUAUUGGUCAAUGGGCGGAAGCCUGAACCAGCCAAGUAGCGUGCAGGAUGACGGCCCUAUGGGUUGUAAACUGCUUUUAUACAGGAAUAAAGUUAGCCACGUGUGGUUAUUUGUAGGUACUGUAUGAAUAAGGACCGGCUAAUUCCGUGCCAGCCGCCGCCGUAA
rnacentral:rRNA from 1 species